UUGACGGGACCCGCACAAGCGGUGGAUGAUGUGGUUUAAUUCGAUGCAACGCGAAAACCUUACCUACCCUUGACAUGUCCGGAAUCCUGCAGAGAUGCGGGAGUGCCCGAAAGGGAAUCGGAACACAGGUGCUGCAUGGCUGUCGUCAGCUCGUGUCGUGAGAUGUUGGGUUAAGUCCCGCAACGAGCGCAACCCUUAUCAUUAGUUGCUACGCAAGGGCACUCUAAUGAGACUGCCGGUGACAAACCGGAGGAAGGUGGGGAUGACGUCAAGUCCUCAUGGCCCUUAUGGGUAGGGCUUCACACGUCAUACAAUGGUCGGUACAGAGGGUUGCCAAGCCGCGAGGUGGAGCCAAUCCCAGAAAGCCGAUCGUAGUCCGGAUUGUUCUCUGCAACUCGAGAGCAUGAAGUCGGAAUCGCUAGUAAUCGCGGAUCAGCAUGUCGCGGUGAAUACGUUCCCGGGUCUU
rnacentral:rRNA from 1 species